AGGCAGCAGUGGGGAAUAUUGCACAAUGGGCGCAAGCCUGAUGCAGCCAUGCCGCGUGUAUGGAAGAAGGCCUUCGGGUUGUAAAGUACUUUCAGCAGUGAGGAAGGUGGGUAUGUUAAUAGCAUACUCAUUUGACGUUUAGCUGCAGAAGAAGCACCGGCUAACUCCGUGCCAGCAGCCGCGGUAAUACGGAGGGUGCGAGCGUUAAUCGGAAUUACUGGGCGUAAAGCGCAUGCAGGUGGUUUGUUAAGUCAGAUGUGAAAGCCCGGGGCUCAACCUCGGAAUUGCAUUUGAAACUGGCAAACUAGAGUACUGUAGAGGGGGUAGAAUUUCAGGUGUAGCGGUGAAAUGCGUAGAGAUCUGAAGGAAUACCGGUGGCGAAGGCGGCCCCCUGGACAGAUACUGACACUCAGAUGCGAAAGCGUGGGGAGCAAACAGGAUUAGAUACCCUGGUAG
rnacentral:rRNA from 1 species